AGUGAACGCUGGCGGUAGGCCUAACACAUGCAAGUCGAACGGCAGCACAGUAAGAGCUUGCUCUUACGGGUGGCGAGUGGCGGACGGGUGAGGAAUACAUCGGAAUCUACUUUUUCGUGGGGGAUAGCGUAGGGAAACUUACGCUAAUACCGCAUACGACCUACGGGUGAAAGCAGGGGAUCUUCGGACCUUGCGCGAUUGAAUGAGCCGAUGUCGGAUUAGCUAGUUGGCGGGGUAAAGGCCCACCAAGGCGACGAUCCGUAGCUGGUCUGAGAGGAUGAUCAGCCACACUGGAACUGAGACGCGGUCCAGACUCCUACGGGAGGCAGCAGUGGGGAAUAUUGGACAAUGGGCGCAAGCCUGAUCCAGCCAUACCGCGUGGGUGAAGAAGGCCUUCGGGUUGUAAAGCCCUUUCGUUGGGAAAGAAAAGCAGCAGGUUAAUACCCCGCUGUUCUGACGGUACCCAAAGAGUAAGCACCGGCUAACUUCGUG
rnacentral:rRNA from 1 species